CAGCGCACCACCACCGCGCCUCUCACCUGCCCCUCUCCUUAUCUUCCCCCUCCAAGAAACCCUAGCCCUCCUUCUCUCUUCCCUCCCUGUCGCCGCCAACCUCUUCUCCCUCCUUUUCUUCUUCUCCGAUGUGAUUCACCGAGAACCACCGCGCCAUAGUUCGUCAUCGACCCGUCGUUCCGUCCGUUCCCUCGCCAAGCCAACACCACCAGCAGAUGCGCCUCCCUCUCCUUGUUCACCUCGUGCAAGGAAUCGCCGCAGGGCCCCAUCAAUUGACGUCGAUUUCGCCGUUUCUUCUCCAAGUCCGGCGGAAAAAUUCGUCAAUUCCGGCCAACCUCGACGACCGCCGGCCGAACCGACCAUGCCAUCGCGCUCAGGAUGCUCGCCGCCGGCCCCUUUCCGAUGAACCCCGGCGACGGCGCCUCCUUCUCCUCGCUCCGCGCCAACAAGGCGCGACCAGCGCGCUGUCUCUCGCUUCUAGGGAGCCCUACGACGCCCGUGCGCAGCCUCGCCUCGCCGUGGUGACCACCUCUGCCGGAACGCGCGCGGCACCGCCUUCCGCCGAACGUCUUCCGUGCGCGCGCGCAUGGUUGGCCACGGUGGCAUCCAGCGUAGCCAGGGGGCCCGCUCGUCAUCGACCUGCGGGUCAAACCGCCGCGGAUCACGAAGUGGUGAUGUGAGAUACGAUAAGUUCUCCGACAAGUUCUUCUGCAGCUUUUCGCAGGCGAGCCCUCCCUCUUCACCUAUUUUAUAUUUUGCUCUCCCUCGCACUGCUAUCCUUAUGUUGCGAUUCUUUAUCGAGUCACGUGUCCUAUUCCACUUGUUUACCAUAAUAAUCCUACAUGUAUCAUUCCUUAACCAUAGCCGUUGCUUGAUGUUUGAGCCUUGCGAGUCGUAGGCAUGUUUAGGCUCUGUUGUUUAUCUCGAUCUGUUAUCGGGAUAUGUUGGGUUGUUGGGAGGUUAUCACAUGCUAUAUCAGUUGUUGGAGAUACACAUGCUUUACUUAAUUGUUAACAGUUAAAAUUGUAAGCAGAGGCAUCUGUGAGCCCCUUUGCGAAAGCAUCGGAACUUUGACUCGCUAAUGUCCCCUAGGACCCGAGUUCUUGUUAUCUGUUCCGAGACUGAGCGCUCUAACCACACGUGGGUAUGCUUACCGGGUCUCCCCUCGACCACUGCCGGAAUCUACAGUUUUGUCCAGUGGCCACAAUUAGUUUGAAUGUUUGUUUGUUUCUCCCGGGCGUGCAAGCAUGUUUCUUUGUGGUCAGAUGAUAUGAUAUUACUUUUGGGGAAGCCAUGCGUUCCUUGUACCCCCGUUGUCUCUUGCACGUCCGUAGGUGCGACACGUAUUGUUAAGAGGUCAUCCUCUAGUGGACUCUGAUCCAGUCCUCGCAACAGGUAGGUCCGCGUCGGAGUUUCGAUCGGGCUCCGAAAUGGGUAAACUUAGCUAGGUGGCUUCCUGGACAUUGUUGUCAUGAAGGUGAGUGCGAGUCGUGAUAUCCACCUGUCGCAAGUGGGUUGAGCGUGCGUGUGGGCACAUUUGGGCACCCCUGCAGGGUUACAAUCUUAUCGAUAAGCCGUGUCCGCGGUUAUGGACGACUUGGAAUUGUAUAGCUUGAUCAUAGACGGAAAUUCAGUUCGGCUCCCGGGUGCGUAUGCUCCCUCUAUCAAAAAAUCAUAUUUCGAAAUGUCGAAAAAUUUGGACAACAAAUUCUACAUGUACAUCUCCAUAAUAUACGUGCGUUCAUCAAGUUUCACGGAAAACCAAUAUUUUGUGUUGUCUAUAUAAAAAAGAGAAAGAUUAUCUUGUAAAAAGCAUUAUUUUUAGCACUGAAUUUUGUCUUUUUUACACAUGUCACAUGAUAAGUCAUUUUUUUAUGAAACGACUUUGUGAGCACGUAGCACGUGAAGAUGUACGUGCGAACUUUUAGUUUCAGUUUUUUCAAAAAUUUAAAAUAUAUGUAAGAUGCAUUUUAAAAUAUAGGGAGCAUAUGCACCCAUGUUCCAAAACACCGCUCCCGAUCAUAGAACAACUUACACUUUAUACUUGUUGUUAAUAAUCUGAUAAUAGCUUGCGUAGUAAUAUAGCAUUACUACAACCGAUACCUAAUAAAACUUGUCCACCGUUGAGUGCCUUUUACAUUGCCUAUUCGCUUUGUUGAAGUGGAUAUGUGUAAUUGGCUGGGUUAUGUUUGUGUAGUAUUUUAUUUGUUACCUUGUGCGCUCUCUUAUCUUCUCUGAGUAGAUGGAUGUUGUAGCGUGUCUCUAUUGGUUAUAGUUUUGCUGCCGCUAAACCUACCAUAUAGCCCCAGACGAUAUAUUCGCCCGGCGAGCAUAGCCAUUUCUAGUCUCGCUAAGUACGUGCCGGAGUUCGUUCCUUGGUACUUACUCUCGCCUUUUCUUUUUUUCUUAUGUUCCCUCCCUUUUGUCGGUAAUCGAUGGCCCGACUUCGACAGGUACAAGAUGACGACGUUAGCAAGGUUACCCUUCCGGCUUGGCCUGGGCAGGGUUAUGGACGCCAUCUUCAGGACUCUUAGUCCAAUUUGUAUCUUGUCCGUACUCGGACGUAUUCGAUCUUCUGUAUGAUUUGGAUCUUUGUAUUGUAUAUUUGUAUCUUGACUCGUUGGAGUCGUUGUUGUAAUAUAUGUUUCUUGUGGGCUCUAUUGUAA